AGGGAAUAUUGGGCAAUGGGCGAGAGCCUGACCCAGCCAUGCCGCGUGCAGGAAGAAGGCUUUCUGAGUCGUAAACUGCUUUUGACAGGGAAGAAUAAGCAUGACGUGUCAUGCGAUGACGGUACCUGCAGAAUAAGCACCGGCUAACUCCGUGCCAGCAGCCGCGGUAAUACGGAGGGUGCGAGCGUUGUCCGGAUUUAUUGGGUUUAAAGGGUGCGUAGGCGGCCGUUUAAGUCUGGGGUGAAAGCCCGCUGCUCAACAGCGGAACUGCCCUGGAUACUGGAUGGCUUGAGUACAGACGAGGUUGGCGGAAUGGACGGAGUAGCGGUGAAAUGCAUAGAUACCGUCCAGAACCCCGAUUGCGAAGGCAGCUGACUAGGCUGUUACUGACGCUGAGGCACGAAAGCGUGGGGAGCGAAC
rnacentral:rRNA from 1 species